AGACGAAGAAGGGAAGUCACUUGUUUCACGGCCAGGGAAGGGCUCCAGCGAGGCAUGGGCUCCGGAGGUGUGUGAAGGCCCCGAGAGGUACAGGAUCUGUUCCCCCACCCUCCUUAGAUUGCAGCAGGGAAAGAGGUGUGUCUCCCGCAGAAAAAUGUGCAAGUUCUUUUAGAUGUGUGGCCUUGGAGCAAAUUAUUUAGCCUGUCUCUAUGUGCUCACCUGGAAAAUGGGAUGAUGAAGAUGGUGGUGAUGAUAAUGGGGAGUCCCUCUUGGAGCUGCUGGGCAGAUGAA